rnacentral:rRNA from 1 species
GCUCAGAUUGAACGCUAGCGGGAUGCCUUACACAUGCAAGUCGAACGGCAGCACGGACUUCGGUCUGGUGGCGAGUGGCGAACGGGUGAGUAAUGUAUCGGAACGUGCCUAGUAGCGGGGGAUAACUACGCGAAAGCGUAGCUAAUACCGCAUACGCCCUACGGGGGAAAGCAGGGGAUCGCAAGACCUUGCACUAUUAGAGCGGCCGAUAUCGGAUUAGCUAGUUGGUGGGGUAACGGCUCACCAAGGCGACGAUCCGUAGCUGGUUUGAGAGGACGACCAGCCACACUGGGACUGAGACACGGCCCAGACUCCUACGGGAGGCAGCAGUGGGGAAUUUUGGACAAUGGGGGAAACCCUGAUCCAGCCAUCCCGCGUGUGCGAUGAAGGCCUUCGGGUUGUAAAGCACUUUUGGCAGGAAAGAAACGUCAUGGGUUAAUACCCCGUGAAACUGACGGUACCUGCAGAAUAAGCACCGGCUAACUACGUGCCAGCAGCCGCGGUAAUACGUAGGGUGCAAGCGUUAAUCGGAAUUACUGGGCGUAAAGCGUGCGCAGGCGGUUCGGAAAGAAAGAUGUGAAAUCCCAGAGCUUAACUUUGGAACUGCAUUUUUAACUACCGAGCUAGAGUGUGUCAGAGGGAGGUGGAAUUCCGCGUGUAGCAGUGAAAUGCGUAGAUAUGCGGAGGAACACCGAUGGCGAAGGCAGCCUCCUGGGAUAACACUACG